rnacentral:lncRNA from 1 species
AUGAAUGGACGACUCAGUAUGACUUAAGGAAUUACAGUAUAGACUAUAUAAAGGACAAGUGGGUGAGAGCAAUGGGGGCAAUAUGCAUGUAAGACUCAGGGAUCCCUAAAAUGAAACUGAUCACCUCAUUUUUCCUAUACCAAUCACAGACACACUAAUCAGAACAUUUAACAUCCACCGUUGGACUCUAGUAAAACUCUCUCGGACCAUUCAAAUCAUAUCUAAAUAACCAUGUUCUCAUAUGGAGUUGAGUAUGACUUCAUAACCCUUUAAAAACUAUAAGUUACAAUGAUACAAGAUAAGAUAUAGUUCAAAAGCCAUAAGGCAACGAAAAAGGUAACUUAGACAGUUUUAUCACAAAUUUCUGGGGGUAACAAUAAGAAUUAUCCGCAAUUCUAUUUGGAACCGGCGAUCUGGAAUCAUAUUGGAAUGUGCGAAUCAAUGAAAAUUCCGACGAUUGAAGGCGGAAGGACUCUGGUCGUCGGCUCGUCGGAUUCAGUGUGAAUCUAAAAUGAUGUCGUCUUCACCAUCGUCAGGGUGGUGAACAUUGAGGGGAAUCUUGUUCAAGCUCUCCUUCAGAUUGGAAAUGGAAAAGCUACCCCCGCUGCAGUUUAUGAUGAAUCUCGCCGAAGAAAAUGGUCAAAUGCACUCCUCACGGUGCCGUCAGUGGCAAUUAGCGACUGUGAUGAAGAUGGAUACUAGCAUUCAUAUUGAAAUAACACACAUUGACUGCAUUAGGAGCAGUGGCAAAAUAAGAGGAUAGUUUUGUGAAGGUUGUCACCAUGAUACAGAACCACCACGCGACGAUAAGGUUUGUUAUUGCAGCUCGGUGGUUCAAGAUGAGACGUAAAUUAUUA